rnacentral:ncRNA from 2 species
AAAAUAAUACUUUGCUCUCUAGGUUUCUUUUAAAUAUAAAAUAUGUUUUCAUAUUAUAUGUAUAAAAGAAAAGAGAAAUAGGAAUUUAUUCCAAACUAAAAAUUAAUUUUUAGUUAAAGUUUCUCGCUGAAUAAAAUUUAUUUUCAUUCAUUUUCUAGAGUAACAAAAAAAGAAUUCUUUUUAUUCUUUUUAACAAAGU